rfam:Pan troglodytes isolate Yerkes chimp pedigree #C0471 (Clint) chromosome 11, whole genome shotgun sequence.
GCUGGGCGUGGUGGUGUGCGCCUGUAAUCCCAGCUACUUGGGAGGCUGAGGCAGGAGAAUCGCUUGAACCCAGGAGGCGGAGGUUGCAGUGAGCCAAGAUCGUGCCAUUACACUCCAGCCUGGGUGACAGAGCAAGACUCUGUCUCAA